rnacentral:rRNA from 1 species
GACAGAGGGUGCAAACGUUGUUCGGAAUUACUGGGCGUAAAGCGCGUGUAGGCGGCUUUGCAAGUCGGGCGUGAAAUCCCACGGCUCAACCGUGGAAGUGCACUCGAAACUGCAAGGCUAGAGUCCUGGAGAGGAAGGUGGAAUGCUUGGUGUAGAGGUGAAAUUCGUAGAUAUCAAGCGGAACACCGGUGGCGAAGGCGGCCUUCUGGACAGUGACUGACGCUGAGACGCGAAAGCGUGGGGAGCAAACGGG